AUAAGGUCUGACCUGCCCAAUGAUUAUAUUUAAUGGCCGCAGUAUAUUGACUGUGCGAAGGUAGCAUAAUCACUUGUCCUUUAAUUGUGGACUAGUAUGAAUGGUUUAAUGAGGGAUAUACUUUCUUUAUUUUAUAUAUAUAAAUUUAAUUUAUAAGUUAAAAAGCUUAUAUAAUUUUAAAUGACGAGAAGACCCUAUAGAACUUUACUUAUUAUACUUAUUGUAAUUAUUUGUUUUGUUAUAAAUAUAGUCUGUAACAUAAGUUUUGUUGGGGUGACAAUUAAAUCUUUUUAACUUUAAUUUAAAUAUUAAAUCAUUAAUUANUGUAUAUUGAUUGACCUGUAAUAUGGAUUAUAAGAAUAAGUUACCUUAGGGAUAACAGCGUAAUUUUAUUGUAGAGUCAUAUUAAUAAUAGAGUUUGCGACCUCCGAUGUGGAUUAAAAAUAAGUAUUAGAUGCAUAAGUUUAAUAACUAAAGUCUGUUUCGACUUUUAANAAUUUUACAUGACCUGAGUUCCNCCGGAA
rnacentral:rRNA from 1 species